rnacentral:rRNA from 1 species
GACGAACGCUGGCGGCGUGCUUAACACAUGCAAGUCGAACGGAAAGGCCCUGCUUGCAGGGUACUCGAGUGGCGAACGGGUGAGUAACACGUGGGUGAUCUGCCCUGCACUUCGGGAUAAGCCUGGGAAACUGGGUCUAAUACCGGAUAGGAGCCAUUUUUAGUGUGAUGGUUGGAAAGUUUUUUCGGUGUAGGAUGAGCUCGCGGCCUAUCAGCUUGUUGGUGGGGUAAUGGCCUACCAAGGCGGCGACGGGUAGCCGGCCUGAGAGGGUGGACGGCCACAUUGGGACUGAGAUACGGCCCAGACUCCUACGGGAGGCAGCAGUGGGGAAUCUUGCACAAUGGGCGCAAGCCUGAUGCAGCGACGCCGCGUGGGGGAUGACGGCCUUCGGGUUGUAAACUCCUUUCGCUAGGGACGAAGCUUUUUGUGACGGUACCUAGAUAAGAAGCACCGGCUAACUACGUG